AGAGCGAACGCUGGCGGCAGGCCUAACACAUGCAAGUCGAACGGACCCUUCGGGGUUAGUGGCGGACGGGUGAGUAACACGUGGGAACGUGCCUUUUGGUUCGGAAUAGCUCCUGGAAACGGGUGGUAAUGCCGAAUGUGCCCUUCGGGGGAAAGAUUUAUCGCCAUUAGAGCGGCCCGCGUCUGAUUAGCUAGUUGGUGAGGUAAUGGCUCACCAAGGCGACGAUCAGUAGCUGGUCUGAGAGGAUGACCAGCCACAUUGGGACUGAGACACGGCCCAAACUCCUACGGGAGGCAGCAGUGGGGAAUCUUGCGCAAUGGGCGAAAGCCUGACGCAGCCAUGCCGCGUGAAUGAUGAAGGUCUAGGAUUAGUAAAAUUCUUUCACCGGGACGAUAAUGACGUACCCGGAGAAGAACGCCCGGCUAACUUCGUGCCAGCAGCCGC
rnacentral:rRNA from 1 species